CACGUAGGGUGCGAGCGUUUGUCCGGAAUUAUUGGGCGUAAAGAGCUCGUAGGCGGUGUGUCGCGUCGGCCGUGAAAACCUGCAGCUUAACUGUGGGCUUGCGGUCGAUACGGGGCAUCACUGGAGUUCGGCAGGGGAGACUGGAAUUCCUGGUGUAGCGGUGAAAUGCGCAGAUAUCAGGAGGAACACCGGUGGCGAAGGCGGGUCUCUGGGCUGAUACUGACGCUGGAGGAG
rnacentral:rRNA from 1 species